CAUGUAGGUUGUUUAGUAAGUCAGAUGUGAAAGAAUUGGGCUCAACCUGAUAGAGCAUUUGAAACUGCUAAGCUAGAGUAUAGUAGGGGAUAGUGGAAUUUCCUGUGUAGCGGUAAAAUGCUUAGAGAUUGGAAGGAACACCAGAGGCGAAGGCGACUAUCUGGGCUAUAACUGACACUGAAAUGCGAAAGUGUGGGGAGCAAACA
rnacentral:rRNA from 1 species